CGGUAAUUCCAGCUCCACUGGCGUAUAUUAACGUUGCUGCAGUUAAAGAGCUCGUAGUUGGAUGUGUGGAGGCCGGGAGGCGGCGAGGCCAAGCGUUUCGCAAGCAGACCGGCAGCCAUUAGCCUUUCAAGAUUUGCGGGCAUUGAGUUGUCUGCUGAUUGUCGAGAGGCCAUUUACUGUGAGAAAAGGAGAGUGUUCAAAGCGGGCGAAAGCUGGAAUACAUUAGCGUGGGAUGAUGAGAUAGAACAGAGGUUUUAUUUCGUUGGUUUAUGAGCCUUUGUGAUGAUAUAGAGGGGCAGUUGGGGGUAUUCAUACUUGCCAGUCAGAGGUGAAAUUCUUGGAUUUGGCAAAGAUGGACUGGUGCGAAAGCAUUUACCAAGGAUGUUCUCGCUAAUCAAGAACGAAAGUUAGGGGAUCGAAGAGGAUUAGAUACCCUCGUAGUCCUAACCGUAAACGAUGCCGACUCGGGAUUGGGCACUGUUGUUUGAGACGUGCUCAGGACCGUUCGAGAAAUCAAAGUCUUUGGGUUCCGGGGGGAGUAUGGUCGCAAGGCUGAAACUUAAAGGAAUUGACGGAAGGGCACCACCAGGAGUGGAGCCUGCGGCUUAAUUUGACUCAACACGGGGAAACUUACCAGGUCCGGACAUGAGAAGGAUUGACAGAUUGAGAGUUCUUUCUUGAUUUCAUGGGUGGUGGUGCAUGGCCGUUCUUAGUUGGUGGAGCGAUUUGUCUGGUUAAUUCCGUUAACGAACGAGACCUCCGCCUGCUAAAUAGGUGCUGCAAUUCUGAGAUUGUAGCAGCUUCUUAGAGGGACUUUGGGCGUUUAGCCCGAGGAAGUUGGAGGCAAUAACAGGUCUGUGAUGCCCUUAGAUGUCCUGGGCUGCACGCGCGCUACACUGAUGCGUUCAGAGAGCGAUCCUUGGCUGACAAGUCACGGGAAAUCUCGAAAGCGUAUCGUGAUGGGGAUAGAUGAUUGGAAUUAUUCAUCUUGAACGAGGAAUUCCUAGUAAACGCGAGUCAUCAGCUCGCAUUGAUUACGUCCCUGCCCCUUGUACACACCGCCC
rnacentral:rRNA from 1 species